rnacentral:rRNA from 1 species
UUGGAGGGCAAGUCUGGUGCCAGCAGCCGCGGUAAUUCCAGCUCCAAUAGCGUAUAUUAAAGUUGUUGCAGUUAAAAAGCUCGUAGUUGAAUUUCGGGACCGGUGGGUUGGUCGUGCCUCCGGUACGUACUGGACCUACCGGUUCCUCCCUUCUGACGAACCACGAUGCCAUUAAUUUGGUGUUGUGGGGAAUCAGGACUGUUACUUUGAAAAAAUUAGAGUGUUUAAAGCAGGCUAAAGCUUGAAUAGAUUAGCAUGGAAUAACGAAAUAGGACGUUUGAUCUUAUUUUGUUGGUUUCUAAGAUCGACGUAAUGAUUAAUAGGGAUAGUUGGGGGCAUUAGUAUUCAAUUGUCAGAGGUGAAAUUCUUGGAUUUAUUGAAGACUAACUACUGCGAAAGCAUUUGCCAAGGAUGUUUUCAUUAAUCAAGAACGAAAGUUAGGGGAUCGAAGACGAUCAGAUACCGUCGUAGUCUUAACCAUAAACUAUGCCGACUAGGGAUCGGAUGAUGUUAAUUUUUUAAUGACUCAUUCGGCGCCUUACGGGAAAC